CCCUUAGAUGUCCUGGGCCGCACGCGCGCUACACUGAGUGUCUGAGAUACGAGUCUGCCUGGUCCGGCAAGGUCUAGGUAAUCGCUAAAAGACACAUCAUGCUUGGGAUAGAUUAUUGCAAAUAUUAAUCUUGAACGAGGAAUUCCUAGUAAGCGCAAGUCAACAGCUUGCGUUGAUUACGUCCCUGCCCUUUGUACACACCGCCCGUCGCUACUACUGAUUGGAUGUUUAAGCGAGGUUCUCGAACUGCUAGCGACUUAGCUUCGGUGAGGUCGCAGUGUGGGAAGUGAACCGAGCUUUGGUGUCUAGAGGAAGUAAAAGCCGUAACA
rnacentral:rRNA from 1 species